rnacentral:rRNA from 1 species
UACGGAGGGGGCUAGCGUUGUUCGGAAUUACUGGGCGUAAAGCGCGCGUAGGCGGACCUGCAAGUCGGGGGUGAAAGCCCGAGGCUCAACCUCGGAACUGCCUUCGAUACUGCGGGUCUCGAGUCCGGGAGAGGUGAGUGGAAUUCCUAGUGUAGAGGUGAAAUUCGUAGAUAUUAGGAGGAACACCGAUGGCGAAGGCAGCUCGCUGGGACGGUAACUGGACGCUGAGGC